CCUACGGGAUGCAGCAGUGAGGAAUAUUUGUCAAUGGACGCAAGUCUGAACCAGCCAUGCCGCGUGCAGGAAGACGGCUCUAUGAGUUGUAAACUGCUUUUGUACGAGGGUAAACGCAGAUACGCGUAUCUGUCUGCAAGUAUCGUACGAAUAAGGAUCGGCUAACUCCGUGCCAGCAGCCGCGGUACUACGGAGGAUUCAAGCGUUAUCCGGAUUUAUUGGGUUUAAAGGGUGCGUAGGCGGUCGGAUAAGUUAGUGGUGAAAUCCCGAGGCUCAACUUCGGAAUUGCCUCUGAUACUGUUCGGCUAGAGAGUAGUUGCGGUAGGCGGAAUGUAUGGUGUAGCGGUGAAAUGCUUAGAGAUCAUACAGAACACCGAUUGCGAAGGCAGCUUACCAAGCUACUUCUGACGUUGAGGCACGAAAGCGUGGGGAGCAAACAGGAUUAGAUACCCCAGUAGUC
rnacentral:rRNA from 1 species